rnacentral:rRNA from 1 species
GACGAACGCUGGCGGCGUGCUUAACACAUGCAAGUCGAGCGAGAAACCCUCUUCGGAGGGGAGUACAGCGGCGAACGGGUGAGUAACACGUGGGCAACCUGCCCCAAGGAGCGGGACAACCCGGGGAAACCCGGGCUAAUACCGCAUGAUCCGCGAUGCCUCAAGGCAUCCCGGGAACAGGUAGCUUCGGCCUCCGCCCUGGGAUGGGCCCGCGGCGCAUUAGCUUGUUGGUGAGGUAAUGGUUCACCAAGGCGACGAUGCGUAGCUGGUCUGAGAGGACGGUGGGCCACACAGGGACUGAGACACGGCCCAGACUCCUACGAGAGGGAGCAGUGGGGAAUCUUGCGCAAUGGGCGGAAGCAUGAAGCAGCAACGCAGCGUGAGGGAAGAAGGCCCUCGGGUUGUAAACCUCUUUCAGGGGGGAAGAAGCUUCCGGGGUUAAUAGCCCACGGGGUGACGGUACCCCCAUAAGAAGCCCCGGCUAACUACGUGCCAGCAGCCGCCGUAACAC